rnacentral:rRNA from 2 species
AAACCGUUCAGGGGUAAACCUGAGAAACCCAAAAGGUCGAAUGGGGAGAUUCAUCGUCGACGGCGCUGGCUACCGUUGGUGCGCGAUGCUCCGGGUGGACCCUUGCGGUUCCAUUAGCGUGUGGCACACCACCUUCGGAUCGAACGUUCCGGCGUCGUAGUCGUGCACUUCUCCCCUAGUAGGACGUCGCGACCCGUUGUGUGUCGGUCUACGGCCCGAGUGGGCGCCUGUCGCGUCGUUUCGGCGCACGCGGCAGACCCUCGGUCGCCCGGCCGGCUGCACGACGGUACACUCACGGUAUCGGGCCGCAACCAGUCCAUUCUCGAAUGUGUGUGCGUCCAACCCGCCGCAAGUUCGGUCAGUUCUUACCCGGAGGUACGGACCCUGUGCCGUCCCCGGGCCUGGCCAGCUGUUAGCAGGCGGUGUCCUCGGACUGGCCAAAUCUCAGAUUACCGGUCGGCGACGCUAUUGCUUUGGGUACUCUCAGGACCCGUCUUGAAACACGGACCAAGGAGUCUAACAUGUGCGCGAGUCAUUGGGAUGCAUAAACCUAAAGGCGAAAUGAAAGUGAAAGUCGGCCUUCGCGCCGAUCGAGGGAGGAUGGGCCGCGUAACCAUGCGGCCUCGCACUCCCGGGGCGUCUCGUUCUCAUUGCGAGAAGAGGCGCACCUAGAGCGUACACGUUGGGACCCGAAAGAUGGUGAACUAUGCCUGGUCAGGACGAAGUCAGGGGAAACCCUGAUGGAGGUCCGUAGCGAUUCUGACGUGCAAAUCGAUCGUCGGAACUGGGUAUAGGGGCGAAAGACUAAUCGAA